CUUCAUUCACCACAUGGUUAAGACUCUACUCGCGCCACUUUCGCAAUCUUACUACGAUUCAGAAACUCCUAGCAAAUCAUAAUAGUAGCACAUGGUUAUGCUUUUUGGAUUAUAUGUCCUAAGUCCUUCUUUUCUCAGUUUUGCAGAUACCCCCGAAACAGUGUGAGUAAACGACCCCUGCGCACAUCUGUAUCUCCUGUGGAAAGCCCCUCAUUGUGGAUUUAAAGGCAUCCUAUUUCAUUCUGUGAUCGAAAACUCCACCUGAACAGUUUGAAGUCACUGUAGUGUCAAAGUGCUUACAGUGCAGGUAGUUCUAUAAAAUCUACUGCAGUGAAGGCACUUUCAGCACUAUUCUGAUAAUGGUAACUAAAGGAGCAGGCUUAUUUACAGACACGACUGGUUUAUGCUAGAAUGGGAUAGACUGAAUCUAAAUACACAUCUGGCAGGACCUUGUUACCAUCCUGCGGUGAUGUUCGGCCCCUGCUGUUCCUGAGUGAGGCAGCUGUGUCUGGAGCAAGGCCCCUCUCAUCAAACAUGCUUGUUAUUGUGAGACAUCAUGCAUAUUUUGCACUUACAAGCCUUCCACUAGUGCUUAUGCUAAGGUGCAUCUAGUGCAGAUAGUGAAGUAGACUAGCACCUACUGCCCUAAGUGCUCCUUCUGGCAUGAGGAGCUGGGACUCUCAUCAUGUGUGUACCCACUUUUAAUUGUGGCAGUGUGUGUGUACCCACUUUUAAUUGUGGCAGUUCUCUGUUAGUUUUGCAUAGUUGCGCUCCAAGAAGAAAUGCGUUGUGCAAAUCUAUGCAAAACUGAUAGUGGCCUGUGUUUUCAUCUGAAUCCUCUUUAUUAUUGUUUCUUCCUCCAUGGUGGUCAAUCAGGUUUCCACUACAGCUCUGUUAAUAUGGCAAAUGUUUAAGUAGUAUUAAAGUGCUUAUAGUGCAGGUAGUUUUAUGAAAUUCUACUGCAGUGUGAGCACUUAAAGUACUUCUUAGACCCAUUUCUUCUUGGAAAACUGCAACUGCAGAGGUAGUUUAUGCACAUGGGUCUCUGGUUAGUUUUGCUUGUUUGCUAUCAGCUUUUUACUGUACUGCUGUGCAAAUCCAUGCAAAACUGAUCAUAGAACUGAAAUCGUCUGAAAUCUAUCAGAUGUGAUCCCUUUCUGUGCAGGUUGGGAGAGGUAGCAAUGCUCUGUACUUGUGUGGUAUUGCACUUGUCCCGGCCUGUUGAGGACAUGGGGAAUUGUUCUGCACAAAGGUUAACUGUGAAAUGGUCCCCUUAUAUCUAAUAAAAAAUGUAUACUACACUAUUGAAAUCUAAUCCUUAUGUACCAUCUCCAUCUUGUCACUUCUGAUACUGUAAUGAUAGGGUUUGACAAAUUCAACAUUUAAAAUAAAUAUUUCCAUUGGC